UGGGGAAUAUUGGACAAUGGGCGAAAGCCUGAUCCAGCCAUGCCGCGUGAGUGACGAAGGCCUUAGGGUUGUAAAGCUCUUUUGGCGGGGAAGAUAAUGACGGUACCCGCAGAAUAAGCUCCGGCUAACUUCGUGCCAGCAGCCGCGGUAAUACGAAGGGAGCUAGCGUUGUUCGGAAUCACUGGGCGUAAAGCGCACGUAGGCGGAUUUGUCAGUCAGGGGUGAAAUCCCGGGGCUCAACCUCGGAACUGCCUUUGAUACAGCAAGUCUUGAGUUCGAGAGAGGUGGGUGGAAUUCCUAGUGUAGAGGUGAAAUUCGUAGAUAUUAGGAAGAACACCGGUGGCGAAGGCGGCCCACUGGCUCGAUACUGACGCUGAGGUGCGAAAGCGUGGGGAGCAAACAGGAUUAGAUACCCCGGUAGUCCCUGAGCGGGCUGGCAAGGCGCAU
rnacentral:rRNA from 1 species